CAUCUCAAAAAUUAAAAAAAAAAAAAAAAUUAGCCAGGCGUGGUGGUGGGUGCCUGUAAUCCCAGGUACUUGGAAGGCUGAGGCAGGAGAAUCUCUUGAACCCAGAAGGCGAAGGUUGCAGUGAACCGAGAUCAUGCCAUUGUACUCUAGCCUGGGUGACAAGAGCAAGACUCCGUCUCAAAAAAAAAAAAAAAAAAAAAAAGAAGUAGAGACAGGGAGACAGGGUCUCACUGUGUUGCCUAGGCCGGUCUUGAACUCCUGGGCUCAAGUGAUUCUCCCACCUUGACCUCCUAAAUUGUUGGGAUUACAGGUGUGAGACAGUGCACCUGGCCGAAAUAGCUCAAGUUUCUGAAAAACAAAUCUGAAUCUAUUUGUUAUUCUUAGCGUCACUGGUCUGGCUUUCAGAAUUAACAUACAAGGUUGCCACACCUAGUUCUGCCCAGCUUUAUGUCUUUUAUUCCAGUAUUCCACCAAAGUUUGUUUUCCUGCAUUCCAGUUCUCAAGUCUUAAGAUAAAGAUUGUACUUGACAGUUUAGUAUAUCCAUAAAACUAUUUGAGGUGGUUAAGGUUCUUGGGUUCAUUUUCCUUAAUACUUUGCUGAAUAUUGUAGAUUGUAGGCAAUGAAAAAGUCUACUAAAUUAGGAAAACCUUGAAUAAUUAGGUAUCCUAGGUAAGAGCCCCUAAACAUCAAGCAAUCUGUGAGUCUGUAAAGAAAUAAAUAUUUUUUGGAUUAUUCUUAUCUAAUUCCACCCCUGUUGGAAGAUGAUUUCUUUGUUCUUUGCAACUAUGGAAGCUGUGAAAAUCAUCACAAGUGCCUCUGAAAGCGAGUGUUAGGUUGGUUAGAGGGUUUAAUAUUUUCUGCAAUGGUUUGUAGGAAUUUUAAUAAAUGUAGUAUAUUUUCUGAGAUGAUUUUGUAAAAGUACUAUUUUAAAUAUCAAAUCAACCAAUAAAUUCACAUUUGUGUUAGGAACAGAAAUAUGGUUUAUAUCUUUGCUGGCUUGGUUUCCUUUUUCUUAAUGUCUCUGGGAGGCUUAUUCCUUCAUUGUGGAAAUUUUAGCUAUUUAAAC
rnacentral:lncRNA from 1 species